AUGUUGUUUAAAGAGCUUGAAGUAGGUGGUGCCAGAUGAUGGCUCCCCUCUCCCAGUGGCACUACUAUGGCACUAUGGUCCCAGUAAGAUAAGAUAUGUUUGGAUUUUUAACCUGGAGGGUUAGCCACCCAAGAUAACCCAAGAAAGUCAGUGCAUCAUUGGGGUCCUUCAAUCUUGUACCCUAGGAUGUGACCUACACCAGUCGACUAACAGCCAGAUUUAUGGAGGCAUGAGGGUGGGUGACCAGAGGUGACACAUCUGUGACUUGACCUGACCCAACCUGACUCAACUUGUCCUGUGUUCCUUUG